rnacentral:rRNA from 1 species
ACAGCAGCCGCCACGGUAAUACGAAGGGUGCAAGCGUUACUCGGAAUUACUGGGCGUAAAGCGUGCGUAGGUGGUGGUUUAAGUCCGUUGUGAAAGCCCUGGGCUCAACCUGGGAAUUGCAGUGGAUACUGGGUCACUAGAGUGUGGUAGAGGAUAGUGGAAUUUCCGGUGUAGCAGUGAAAUGCGUAGAGAUCGGAAGGAACAUCUGUGGCGAAGGCGACUAUCUGGGCCAACACUGACACUGAGGCACGAAAGCGUGGGGAGCAAACAGGAUUAGAUACCCCGGUAGUCCCUGUCUCUUAUAC